GGUGGAGCUGGGGCUGUUGGAGCCUCACCUGACGGUAAUUCAGGCGUCUUCAUGGCACAGGGGGUUCGACCCCCUCCUCCACCAC
rnacentral:tRNA from 1 species